rnacentral:rRNA from 1 species
CCUACGGGUGGCAGCAGUGAGGAAUAUUGGACAAUGGGGGGAACCCUGAUCCAGCGACGCCGCGUGAGUGAAGAAGUAUUUCGGUAUGUAAAGCUCUAUCAGCAGGGAAGAAAAUGACGGUACCUGACUAAGAAGCAUCGGCUAACUCCGUGCCAGCAGCCGCGGUAAUACGGAGGAUGCGAGCGUUAUCCGGAUUUAUUGGGUUUAAGGGGUGCGUAGGCGGACUUUUCAGUCAGCGGUAAAAGCCCGGGGCUCAACCCCGGCGAGCCGUUGAAACUGGCUGUCUUGAGAUGUCGAGAGGUAUGCGGAAUGCGCAGUGUAGCGGUGAAAUGCUUAGAUAUUGCGCAGAACUCCGAUUGCGAAGGCAGCAUACCGGCGGCGAUCUGACGCUGAGGCACGAAAGCGUGGGUAUCGAACAGGAUUAGAUACCCCAGUAGUC